rnacentral:rRNA from 1 species
CCUACGGGAGGCUGCAGUGGGGAAUAUUGGACAAUGGGGGGAACCCUGAUCCAGCCAUGCCGCGUGUGUGAAGAAGGCCCUCGGGGUGUAAAGCACUUUCAGUGAGGAAGAACGCCUGGUGGUUAAUACCCAUCAGGAAAGACAUCACUCACAGAAGAAGCACCGGCUAACUCCGUGCCAGCAGCCGCGGUAAUACGGAGGGUGUGAGCGUUAAUCGGAAUUACUGGGCGUAAAGCGCGCGUAGGUGGCUUGAUAAGCCGGUUGUGAAAGCCCCGGGCUCAACCUGGGAACGGCAUCCGGAACUGUCAAGCUAGAGUGCAGGAGAGGAAGGUAGAAUUCCCGGUGUAGCGGUGAAAUGCGUAGAGAUCGGGAGGAAUACCAGUGGCGAAGGCGGCCUUCUGGACUGACACUGACACUGAGGUGCGAAAGCGUGGGUAGCAAACAGGAUUAGAUACCCUGGUAGUC